CGCUUCUCCUCAUCGUCUGGUGUCCGUCGUGAGGCGGAAGAAUCGGAAAUCCGGUGAAAGACCGGAACGUGCCCAACGCUGUGAAUGGUGAUGGCCGCGCAUGAUGCCACUGGAGAAAUCCGGGAAGGCGUGCGAGCCAGGUGAUCCUCAGUCAGAAGACCGGCCAGACAGGAUGGCUCGUG
rnacentral:ncRNA from 1 species